rnacentral:misc_RNA from 1 species
UCUCCGUUGGUGAACCAGCGGAGGGAUCAUUACCGAGUUUUCCAACUCCCAAACCCUUCUGUGAACCUAUACCGACACGUUGCUUCGGCGGGAUCCCCCCGGCGCCCUCAGCGGCGGCCGGGCCCAGGCGCCCGCCGGAGGACCACACCAAACUCUUCAGAUUUUCUUCAUGCGUCUUCUGAGUGACACAAAAAAAAUGAAUCAAAACUUUCAACAACGGAUCUCCUGGUUCUG